rnacentral:rRNA from 1 species
UACGUAGGGGGCAAGCGUUGUCCGGAUUUAUUGGGCGUAAAGAGCGUGUAGGCGGCCAUACAGGUCAGCUGUGAAAACUCGAGGCUCAACCUCGAGACGUCGGUUGAAACCGUAUGGCUAGAGUCCGGAAGAGGAGAGUGGGAUUCCCGGUGUAGCGGUGAAAUGCGCAGAUAUCGGGAAGAACACCCGUGGCGAAGGCGGCUCUCUGGGCCUGUACUGACGCUGAGGAGCGAAAGCGUGGGGAGCGAACAGG